UACGGGGGGGGCGAGCGUUGUUCGGAAUAACUGGGCGUAAAGGGCGCGUAGGCGGCCUGGGCAGUCCUGGGUGAAAGCCCCCGGCUCAACCGGGGAAGGGCCUGGGAAACCACUGGGCUGGAGUGCUGGAGAGGGAGGCGGAAUUCCUGGUGUAGCGGUGAAAUGCGUAGAGAUCAGGAGGAACAUCGGCGGCGAAGGCGGCCUUCUGGACAGACACUGACGCUGAGGCGCGAAAGCCGGGGGAGCAAACAGGAUUAGAUACC
rnacentral:rRNA from 1 species